rnacentral:ribozyme from 1 species
CAUCACGCAAAAACAACACUGAUGACUUUAUGAGAAGAAAAACAAUACAGAAAAGAAGGAGAAAAAAAAUCAUUCCUUUUCCUUUUCUUUUUUUCAU